UACGUAGGGGGCAAGCGUUGUCCGGAAUCAUUGGGCGUAAAGCGCGUGUAGGCGGCUGGGCAAGUCGGCCGUGAAAUCUCCGGGCUUAACUCGGAGGGGUCGGGCGAGACUGCACAGCUCGAGGCGGGUAGAGGGCAGUGGAAUUCCGGGUGUAGUGGUGGAAUGCGUAGAGCUCCGGAGGAACACCAGUGGCGAAGGCGGCUGCCCGGGCCCGGCCUGACGCUGAGGCGCGAAAGCGUGGGGAGCGAUCCGG
rnacentral:rRNA from 1 species